rnacentral:rRNA from 1 species
UUUGAAUGGCCGCGGUAUUUUGACUGUGCUAAGGUAGCAUAAUCGUUAGUUUUUUAAUUGAAAGCUGGUAUGAAGGGUUGGAUGAAAAAUUAACUGUCUCUAAUUAAUUUUAUUAGAAAUUUAUUUUUAAGUUAAAAAGCUUAAAUAUUUUUAAAAGACGAGAAGACCCUAUAGAGUUUAAUAUAUUUAAUUUAUAAAUAUUAAGAAUUUAUUUUUUAUAAUUAUAGUAUAUUUAAUUGGGGUGAUUAAAAAAUUUAAUAAACUUUUUUUAUAGAUUUAUAUUGAUUAAUAAAUUAAUGAUCCAAUAAUUUUGAUUAUAAGAUAAAUUACCUUAGGGAUAACAGCGUAAUUUUAUUAGAGAGUUCUAAUCGAAAAUAAAGUUUGCGACCUCGAUGUUGGAUUAAAAUUUAAAUUUGGUGUAGAAGCUAAAUAAUUUAAGUCUGUUCGACUUUUAAAAUUUUAC